rnacentral:rRNA from 1 species
GAUGAACGCUGGCUGUAGGCUUAACACAUGCAAGUCGAGGGACCGGCGCACGGGUGAGUAACGCGUAUCCACCCUGCCCAUAACUAAGGGAUAACCCAGCGACAGUUGGACUAAUACCUUAUGGUUAUGGAUGAUGAUGCGUCUGAUUAGCGUGUGGGAGGGGUAACGGCGCACCAAGGCAACGAUCAGUAGGGGUUCUGAGAGGCAGGACCACCGCAUUGGAACGGAGACACGGUCCAAACUCCUACGGGCGGCAGGAGUGAGGAAUAUUGGGCAAUGGACGCAAGUCCGAACCAGCCAAGUAGCGUGCAGGGUGACUGCCUAUGAGGUGUAAACUGUUUUUAUAGGGGGAGAGGUACCAUAUGAAUAAGGACCGGCUAACUCCGUGCCAGCAGCCGCGGUAAUUC